rnacentral:ncRNA from 1 species
UUUCCCUCAGGAUAGCAGAAACUUAAUUAUCAGAUUUAUGUGGUAAAGCGAAUGAUUAGAGGCCUUGGGGUUGAAAUGACCUUAACCUAUUCUCAAACUUUAAAUAUAUAAGAACGAGCCAUCUCUUGAUUGGACUGCUCGGUGAUUAAGAGUUUCUAGUGGGCCAUUUUUGGUAUGUACACAGCGUGAAUAAGCAAAGAUUGACGAAAAA